rnacentral:lncRNA from 1 species
AGUAUAUAAAGGGUUAGCUAACGCCCAAAUUUUCUUGCCAUUUACACAUGCAAUGCAGCCUACAUUUCUGUAGGCAGCAAAUGCAGGCAUCAUUUUGAUUGCUUGAAUUCUUUUGUUUAAUUUUUUACUAGACAUUUAACUUAGCACUCAAAUCCCACUGAUCCCUUAGAGACUGCAUUUGGAUAAGGAAAACAAAGUUCCUAAUAUAGAGAAGUUUAAAAAAAAAAAAAAUCCUGGGCCCUUGUAAACAUUUGAGAAAUAGACUUUUAGUGUAGCGCUGCAAAUACAUAUUUAGAGUGCAGAAACUUAGGUACCUUUAUUAUCUAUCAUCAUCCUGGUUUUCUUAUCUUUCAGUGACCAACUAUAGAGUCGGUCACAUAUUUAUUUCCUAUAUGUCUUUAUUUCUUGAAAGGUUUAGUAAAAACAGUGUAAAAAUUGACAUAUCUUCAUAAAAUGAUUCACACCAUUUCUUCAAUGAGCUAGCUUCAAUUUUCAUUAAAUGUUGCUUUUCUCCACGUCUCUACAUGUUAAAUGUAACUUUAUGAAGUACAUUAGCAGCCAAUAAUAUUAACUUGUAUGUAAUAGUUUACUUGUAGGAAUUUGAAAGCAGGUGGAACUUGAAGGUAAUUGAGAUUAAGUGAAUUUAAGAUUAAAUAGCUUCAUUUUAUAUAAACAGUUAAUUUCAUGCAUAUUUUAUGGACAACUUAAAAGUGAAAAAUUCUGAUAAGGUGAACUAAAUUUUUCAUUAUUGAUAUAAGUAACGUGACUUUAAAUCUGUUACCUUAAUAAUUAAUUUCUAAACAAACAAAACAGGUAUAAAAAUAAUCAUGGACUAUAUUCAUUAGGUCAAGUAAAUAAGAAUAAAAACUUCCUAGGUUUUGUCUUGGCCAUAUAAGGUCUUUGAGGUGUUUUGGGUUCUUUUGUGUUGAUUGAUAGAUUUAACUUUGCCUCUCUUCUGAGAAGUUUCUCCCUCUUUGUCAAUAGGUGUCUGAUGAUUUGUGAGCCUCAAGUGACUACUCUGUGGAAUCAUCUGUCCUUGCCUUUGAAUUAGCUUUCCCUAGGCCAUGAGUCAACAUUAGUAGUUUAUACAUCCAAAUUGAUGACAAGAGCACCUCAAAGGCAGCAGCCUCAAGGAGCAGCCAUGGCCCCAGACUUGUCGCACGGAUGCAGAAAACUUAAUGGAGGAGGCUGAGGUCAGAAUGGGAAGAGUUUUUAAAAAAUAAAAAGGGGAGCUAAUAUGUGAGGA